AGAGUGAACGCUGGCGGUAGGCCUAACACAUGCAAGUCGAACGGCAGCACGGUAAGAGCUUGCUCUUAUGGGUGGCGAGUGGCGGACGGGUGAGGAAUACAUCGGAUUCUACCUUUUGGUGGGGGAUAACGUAGGGAAACUUACGCUAAUACCGCAUACGCCCUUCGGGGGAAAGCCGGGGACCAGCAAUGGCCUGGCGCUGAUAGAUGAGCCGAUGUCGGAUUAGCUAGUUGGUGAGGUAAUGGCUCACCAAGGCGACGAUCCGUAGCUGGUCUGAGAGGAUGAUCAGCCACACUGGAACUGAGACACGGUCCAGACUCCGACGGGAGCAGCAGUGGGAAUGU
rnacentral:rRNA from 1 species